GGGGGGGCAAGCGUUUAUUCGGAAUUAUUGGGCGUAAAGGGCGUGUAGGCGGCCAGAUAAGUCAAAGGUGAAAUCCCUCGGCUCAACCGGGGAACUGCCUUUGAAACUAUCCGGCUAGAGGCCGGGAGAGGGUAGCGGAAUUCCCAGUGUAGCGGUGAAAUGCGUAGAUAUUGGGAGGAACACCAGUGGCGAAGGCGGCUACCUGGACCGGUUCUGACGCUGAGGCGCGAAAGCGUGGGGAGCAAGCAGGAUUAGAUACCCUGGUAGUCCACGCUGUAAACGAUGGGCACUCGGUGCUGCGGGUAUCGACCCCCCUGCAGUGCCUUAGCUAACGCGUUAAGUGCCCCGCCUGGGGAGUACGGUCGCAAGGCUG
rnacentral:rRNA from 1 species